ACGGGCGAGUAACACGUAGGUAAUCUACCUCCGAGUGGUGGAUAACGUCCCGAAAGGGACGCUAAUACAGCAUGAGACCACGGCUUCGAAAGAGGCUGAGAUCAAAGCAGGCCUCUGUAUACAUGCUUGCGCUUGGAGAUGAGCCUGCGGCCCAUCAGCUAGUUGGUAGGGUAACGGCCUACCAAGGCGAAGACGGGUAGCUGGUCUGAGAGGAUGAUCAGCCACACUGGAACUGAGACACGGUCCAGACUCCUACGGGAGGCAGCAGUGGGGAAUCUUGCGCAAUGGGGGAAACCCUGACGCAGCGACGCCGCGUGGGUGAUGAAGGCCUUCGGGUCGUAAAGCCCUGUGGGGAGAGACGAAUAAGUUUGGUCGAACAGGCCGAAUGAUGACGGUAUCUCCUUAGCAAGCACCGGCUAACUCUGUGCCAGCAGCCGCGGUAAGACAGAGGGUGCAAACGUUGUUCGGAAUUACUGGGCGUAAAGCGCAUGUAGGCGGCCACGCAGGUCGGAUGUGAAAUCCCUCGGCUCAACCAAGGAAGUGCAUUCGAAACCGCAUGGCUGGAGUCCCGGAGAGGGUAGUGGAAUUC
rnacentral:rRNA from 1 species